AUUGAACGCUGGCGGCACGCCUAACACAUGCAAGUCGAGCGGUAACAUGAUUUGUAGCAAUACAAGUUGAUGACGAGCGGCGGACGGGUGAGGAACACGUAGGAACCUGCCCUUUAGCGGGGGACAACCAAGGGAAACUUUGGCUAAUACCGCGUAAUCUCGAGAGAGGAAAGCUGCCCGCAAGGGCGGCGCUAAAGGAGGGGCCUGCGUCCGAUUAGCUAGUUGGUGAGGUAAAGGCUCACCAAGGCGAUGAUCGGUAACUGGUCUGAGAGGACGACCAGUCACACUGGGACUGAGACACGGCCCAGACUCCUACGGGAGGCAGCAGUGGGGAAUAUUGGACAAUGGGGGCAACCCUGAUCCAGCGAUGCUGCGUGGGUGAAGAAGGCCUUCGGGUUGUAAAGCCCUUUAGGUCGGGAAGAAGGACGAUUAGUUAAUAGCUAGUUGUUUUGACGGUACCGACAGAAUAAGCACCGGCAAACUCUGUGCCAGCCGCCGCGGUAA
rnacentral:rRNA from 1 species